ensembl:lncRNA
AAAGCGCAAGAAAGUGAGGCAUCCGUGUCGGCGUCCGGGCUUCUGAUUGAUACUUCAAGCAACUUUGAAAGUCUAAUGAUUGGUGUGGGGGUCCUAAAGCUAUUGCAGCGUGGCUCUCCAUCACCAUGUUGAACUGAGCCUGGACCUGCUGCCUCCCUUCUCCCUUGCUCCAUCUGGGUGUCGGUGAGAACGAGGGGAGCACGGGGCCAAACGGCUCUGCAUCCGCCCAGGAUGCCCUCCAGGACCUGGUGAGGGCAGCCUGAGGCUGGGCCUGGCCAAGAGGACAGGAUUGGUGCAGAUGCCCAGGUCUGGUCCUUGUGAAACUCAAAAUCUGGUAGGCAGGAGCAUUCGACACACAAAGCUACACCUGCUAUUAGUAAACAGAUGAGAGCCUUUGAGAAUAAUGAUUAGUGAAAACUGGGGGCAGCAAGGAGGACUUCCUGGGGAGGCAGGUUCAGGAGAAAUGUUUCUUUUAAAAUUUUGGGGGGGAUUUUUUUUGCUAUAAAAGCAAUCCAUAUUCUCAGUAGAAAAAUGAGGCAAAUCAUAUAUGUAUAUUCAGAUAACUCUAGUCCCACAAUCCAGAGAUAACUGCUGUAGAUAUUUCUUCUAAAAUUAUUCCAUUUAAUUUUACUCUCAUUUAGCAGGAAAAAAAGUGAAGUGAAACUAAAGGGGUUGCUAAACUGUACAUAUUUAUUUCUUCAAAACAAGAGAUGUACGAGUUACUAAGGAACUCUUCAAAUAGAUUACAGAAACAGGAGACUUUGACGUUAGGGUGAAUGGAUGUUUUUUUAAGUUUGUGCUUAUCAAUGGCCAUAAGGCUAAGUUUCCAGAUACUGAGUUUCAGGUGACUCUCUAAUUAAAACCCAAAGCCACCGCUCCAUGCUAAAAACAACCAAAUCAUCCUUCCGGUUUUUUUUCCAGGAGGGAAACGGAGAGAGAGAAUGAGAGGGAAGGGGAACAAAACUUUACAUCUGGGUUUACUCUCCGGGUGAUGCUUCAAAAACAUUAUUAGGGCAAAGCCGAUCUGUAAAGAAAACUGUGCUAUAAAAAUGGCAGACCACUUGCAGGAGUGAGAACCACUCGAUACCGAGAAAUGUACCCAUUACAAACCCAAGCAGAUUUGGUUUAAUUCAGAGGGCCCAGCGCUAUUUCUUAUACACGAGCCACUGCUCAAAUCUAACUCGCUUCCUAUUUAGACCAUGGCUUUUUUUGUAGAGUGUUUCAUUUUAUUUCCCAGAAUGCCUAGUGGCCAUUCUUUUCCUUGGUGAAAACAGGCACUCAUUUCCCCACCUCACUGAGAGCAGGAUAUCAUGACACUUCUAGAUCCUCAUCACGAGAUUGUGUAACGUUACCCACUUUCUUCCUGAAGUCUUUCCAUGGAGCCCCUUGGCUUCCUGCUCUAAUCUGGACUUGGUGCCGUCUAGGCGUGCGGAACAACUGCCUUCCUCCUAGGAUUUCUUGUCAUUGUCCUCCUCAAUUGGUUCCUUGGGCUCCUUUUCUGCUUAUCUCUAGAACAGUGCUGAGUAGCUCUUCUAGAAAAGUACACAGAAGACAAUCUUUCUGAGCCCUCACCUGUGUCCAAAGAUACCUUUACACUUAGUCUGGCUGGUAUGUAUUUCCAUGUUCAAAUCAUCUCCCUCGGAAUCUGGAACUCGCCACCCAAGCCUUUCAACAUCCAGGGUUGCUGCUGGGAGGCUCACCGCUCUGACGUGAGUCCCUACACAGGAAAUCUUACGCUUCCUUUCUGAAAACUUUAAGGCUAGCCUUUUAUCCUUGCAGGGCAGAAAUCUCACCAAUAUGUAUCUAGAUGGGCCCUUUCAAUAUGAAAACCGAAGUCAUUUUCCUAUUUUGAAAAGAGUUACGCCCUCCCCCCACCCCCGGGUUCUCUUUCCAUCCUUCUGAGAAUCCUGUAGGAAGAGAUGGAGUGUGAUCUGCUUAGAUCUCUUCUCAGCCUUUUCUUCAUCUUCUUCAUCUCUUUUUAUACCAUAUCUCUAAGUUUGAGAAGAUUUCUUUCUUCUGCUUACCUUCCAGAUUACUUACUCGGUCCUUGGCUGCCUCUGUUUUACUUUUUAGACUUUUGUGGAAUUUUGAAAUUAAUUUUGGGAAUCCUAUUUUCAAGCUUUCCCUUUCAAGAAUUCUAGUUUUCUGACUAUUCUUUUCAAUGGCAACCUGCUUUCAAUUUCUGGAUAUAAUGUCCUCUUGAAUCUCUCCACAGGUUCUAAGGAAACCUUCUCAAAAAUUCUCUUCCGUAUCCCCCGGGAGCAGGUUGCUCUGCUCUUCCUGGCUAGGCUCCUCCUUUGCACUGAUGGUUUUCUUGAAUUACCUGGUUAUCUUUGUCCUUGCUUGUUGACAAGCGGAGGGCCAGUUUGCCCCGGGCUUCCCUGAGCCACGUUUUGAGCAGUAUUUUGAGAUGUGAAGACUAGGGAUUGGACAAGUCAGGGUGAGGCAGCACAGGUUGACUGUAGCGGUUUGUGUUUAUCCUGGAGGCAGAAGUAAGCAAAUCACAGUCGAGGCAAAGAAGCUAAUGUGACUAGAAAAAAGUGCCACGCUAGGGGUGAAAAAGAGAGAGACGAAAUUGGAAGAUUCAAGGGGUGAAUAAGAAGAAGACUGAUGAAGGGUUUUUAAUGGGGGGAGAAAUACGCCAAUCUGAUGGAAGAUGGGAACACUUCUAAUUUACUGAUCACCACAGACCCUACCACUACCGCCACGUGCUGCUGUCUCCCCAGAGAGAGACUUGAAGACUGACUUCCGUUUUUGACCGCCUCCUCAAGAAACAGAAAUGUCUGCCCUCUCCUCUCCAUGGGUCCUGCAGAGCUGAGAGUGAAGCCAUGAAGCAAUCAGGAAGAGAAGAAGCCCAUUGUCCACUGUCUGAGGGUCCCACGCUGGGAGCUCCACACCACCCCUCCACAGCGCCAUGUCGCUUGCUGGUUGACCUCCCAGGUCAAUCACACAAACAACAUCGCUGCUGCUUAGCCACCUCUCAUUAAGGCAGCAACCUUGCUGAGCUUUACAUGCUAUCAGAACCAUUUCUUUUAAAGCUACCGCUUAUGGAAAUUGUCAAACAUACUCAACAGCAAGGAGAACAGCAAAAUGAAUCCUCGUGUGCCCGUCACCCAGUGUCUUAGUCCACUUUGGCUGCUGUCCCAGAAUACCAUAGAUCAGGGCGCUUAUAAACAACAGGAACUUAUUUCUCACAGUUCUGUAGACUGGAGGUCAAGAUCAAGGGGGCAGCAAGGUCGGGAUCUGGUGAGAGCCCGCUUCCAGGUUCAUAGACAGCUGUGUUCUCGCUAUAACCUCACACUGGGGAAGGGGCAAGGGAGCUCUCUGGAGUCUCUCUUAAAAGGGCACUAAUCCCUUUCAGGAGGGACCCACUUUCAUGACUGAGUCACUUCCCAAAGGCCCAAUCUCCUGAAACUAGCAUAUUGGGUGUUAAGAUUACAACAUAUGAAUUCAGGGUGGAUGCAAACAAUCCCUCUCUAGCACCCAGCUUUAAGACUAUAUCAACAUUUUGCCCACUGAAGAACCUACUUUUAAGCAGCAUUCAUUUUUCAAAUCGAGACUUUUUCAUAAACAUGUGUCUAAGCCCCACCUCCAGGAAUCCUGUGAUCAAGCCGAAGAAAACAUAAUUUUAAAGAGCUUCACAAGCAAUUCCGACGCCCACAAAAAAUUGAGAGCCAGUGCUGUAAUGCAAUGAGAACAAGUGCAUGACUCUCACAAGUAAGUGGCACUGAAGAGGGUUUGAUAAAUAACAGGAUACCCAGAAGACGUAAAGGAAAAAUGUUGACAGCAGUCUACACGGACAAUGUAAAUGCCAGGAUAGCAAAAGAUCACAAAGAAAAGGAAGACAAAUGAUAGAAUGAGAGGAAAUAUUUUCUUUUCUUUUUUU